AGUGAACGCUGGCGGUAGGCCUAACACAUGCAAGUCGAACGGCAGCACAGUAAGAGCUUGCUCUUACGGGUGGCGAGUGGCGGACGGGUGAGGAAUUCAUCGGAAUCUACUUUUUCGUGGGGGAUAACGUAGGGAAACUUACGCUAAUACCGCAUACGACCUACGGGUGAAAGCAGGGGAUCUUCGGACCUUGCGCGAUUGAAUGAGCCGAUGUCGGAUUAGCUAGUUGGCGGGGUAAAGGCCCACCAAGGCGACGAUCCGUAGCUGGUCUGAGAGGAUGAUCAGCCACACGGGAACUGAGACACGGUCCAGACUCCGACGGGAGGCAGCAGUGGGGAAUAUUGGACGAUGGGCGCAAGCCUGAUCCAGCCAUACCGCGUGGGUGAAGAAGGCCUUCGGGUUGUAAAGCCCUUUUGUUGGGAAAGAAAAGCAGCAGGUUAAUACCCCGCUGUCCUGACGGUACCCAAAGAAUAAGCACCGGCUAACUUCGUG
rnacentral:rRNA from 1 species